rnacentral:rRNA from 1 species
AUUGAACGCUGGCGGCAGGCUUAACACAUGCAAGUCGAGCGGAGAGAGGUAGCUUGCUACUGAUCUUAGCGGCGGACGGGUGAGUAAUGCUUAGGAAUCUGCCUAUUAGUGGGGGACAACAUUUCGAAAGGAAUGCUAAUACCGCAUACGUCCUACGGGAGAAAGCAGGGGAUCUUCGGACCUUGCGCUAAUAGAUGAGCCUAAGUCGGAUUAGCUAGUUGGUGGGGUAAAGGCCUACCAAGGCGACGAUCUGUAGCGGGUCUGAGAGGAUGAUCCGCCACACUGGGACUGAGACACGGCCCAGACUCCUACGGGAGGCAGCAGUGGGGAAUAUUGGACAAUGGGCGCAAGCCUGAUCCAGCCAUGCCGCGUGUGUGAAGAAGGCCUUAUGGUUGUAAAGCACUUUAAGCGAGGAGGAGGCUACUUUAGAUAAUACCUAGAGAUAGUGGACGUUACUCGCAGAAUAAGCACCGGCUAACUCCGUGCCAGCCGCCGCGGUAACAC